rnacentral:lncRNA from 1 species
AUGCAGCCUGAGACAGAAAGACAGAAAGUGGAGAACAACAAGAAGUUUCUACAUGAGAUGAAAGAAAGAAGAGAGAGAGAGAAAGAGGAGAAAGAACUUUAUUUAAAAGACAGAAAAAAAGAGGAGAGGACGACAGGACCUGAUGAUAAAAGAGAAAAAGACUGUGAGGAAAACCAGAGAGACUUUACUGUAAUGAACCAGAACCAGGAAAAUAAUGAGAGACUAAAACAAACAGAGGAAGAAAAGAAGUUUCAUCUAGAUAGAAGAGGAGUCGAGGAGCAGAAACACAGACCAGAGAUUAAACCACAGAACAGAGACCAACACGUUUUAGAAAUCAAGAAACAAGAGGAGAGUAAAACAGAGAGAAACAAGGAUAAAAGAGAAAAAGAUCAGAAAAUGAAAGAGAAGAAUCAUCAGAGUGAGACAGAAAAGAAGUUUCCAUCAGUCAACGGAGACGAUACAGAGAGAACUGAAGUCAAAAUACAGCAAAUAAUCCAAGAACUUCAGAAACAACCAGAAGAAAAAGAUCAGAGACGUCUGGAAGAAGUCAGACUACAGGAAGAUGGAUUUGGAAAAGUAGAGAGUCAGGAAGGAGCAAAGGGAAACACGAUGAAGACCAACAAAACUCAGAGGAAGGAGAAGAAGGUAAAGGAACGACAACCGAGACAAGAAGGACUGAUGGAGACAGAACAGGAACCAGAGAGAAAACCUUUAGUGACUCAGGUAGAAACCACAGAACGACAAUGGAAAAAUCUCAAGAGGACAAGAGUUAAGCUUCAGAAAGACCAGCAGGAGAUGUGUGAGAAUGAUGAAGGUCAAAGAGAUGUGAAGAGAAGACUGAAUCAUCAAGAUUUGGAGCUUGAUGUGUGUCAGCAACAGUCAGAUGGAAUGAAUCACAUUUACAGAAAGCCUGAACAACAAGAUGAAGAUUUGAUGGAGUUUGAAAGUGAAGAUAACAUGGAAACAGACUUUACAGCUGAUUCUCAGCAAAGUAGGAGGUUCAUUCAGGAUCAGUCACCAAUGUGUCAAGAAGAACAAGAGGACGUUGUCAUGGAUGUUCAACCAGAGGCACAAACUUUAGGAAGUAGGAGCAGUUAG